AUGCAAGUCGAGCGAACAGACGAGGAGCUUGCUCCUCUGACGUUAGCGGCGGACGGGUGAGUAACACGUGGAUAACCUACCUAUAAGACUGGGAUAACUUCGGGAAACCGGAGCUAAUACCGGAUAAUAUAUUGAACCGCAUGGUUCAAUAGUGAAAGACGGUUUUGCUGUCACUUAUAGAUGGAUCCGCGCCGCAUUAGCUAGUUGGUAAGGUAACGGCUUACCAAGGCAACGAUGCGUAGCCGACCUGAGAGGGUGAUCGGCCACACUGGAACUGAGACACGGUCCAGACUCCUACGGGAGGCAGCAGUAGGGAAUCUUCCGCAAUGGGCGAAAGCCUGACGGAGCAACGCCGCGUGAGUGAUGAAGGUCUUCGGAUCGUAAAAACUCUGUUAUUAGGGAAGAACAAAUGUGUAAGUAACUAUGCACGUCUUGACGGUACCUAAUCAGAAAGCCACGGCUAACUACGUGCCAGCAGCCGCGGUAAUACGUAGGUGGCAAGCGUUAUCCGGAAUUAUUGGGCGUAAAGCGCGCGUAGGCGGUUUUUUUAAGUCUGAUGUGAAAGCCCACGGCUCAACCGUGGAGGGUCAUUGGAAACUGGAAAACUUGAGUGCAGAAGAGGAAAGUGGAAUUCCAUGUGUAGCGGUGAAAUGCGCAGAGAUAUGGAGGAACACCAGUGGCGAAGGCGACUUUCUGGUCUGUAACUGACGCUGAUGUGCGAAAGCGUGGGGAUCAAACAGGAUUAGAUACCCUGGUAGUCCACGCCGUAAACGAUGAGUGCUAAGUGUUAGGGGGUUUCCGCCCCUUAGUGCUGCAGCUAACGCAUUAAGCACUCCGCCUGGGGAGUACGACCGCAAGGUUGAAACUCAAAGGAAUUGACGGGGACCCGCACAAGCGGUGGAGCAUGUGGUUUAAUUCGAAGCAACGCGAAGAACCUUACCAAAUCUUGACAUCCUCUGACCCCCUCUAGAGAUAGAGUUUUCCCCUUCGGGGGACAGAGUGACAGGUGGUGCAUGGUUGUCGUCAGCUCGUGUCGUGAGAUGUUGGGUUAAGUCCCGCAACGAGCGCAACCCUUAAGCUUAGUUGCCAUCAUUAAGUUGGGCACUCUAAGUUGACUGCCGGUGACAAACCGGAGGAAGGUGGGGAUGACGUCAAAUCAUCAUGCCCCUUAUGAUUUGGGCUACACACGUGCUACAAUGGACA
rnacentral:rRNA from 1 species